GGCUGCAGUGCUCCGCUGACUCCAGAGGGAAGAAGUAAAGCUGUUGUGGCAGACAGUUCUGCUGAAAGGUAGCAAGUGGAUUCUGAACUCCACGAUCUCAUGGUCACUGCAGCCAAGCCUGACUCCAGCCUUCACAUCUCCAACCAGAUCUUCCUCGUUUGAAUGUUUCCAAAGUCCCUUCCCAGCUGCCGUGAGAAGCAGGUUGCUUUCCAUGUGCUCAUCGAGCUCACUGAUGGUUUCAUUGUUCCCAGUGACACAGCUGCUGUGGGAGAAAUCUUCACAGGUAGUUGGG